GGUUAAGCGACUAAGCGUACACGGUGGAUGCCCUGGCAGUCAGAGGCGAUGAAGGGCGUGCUAAUCUGCGAUAAGCGCCGGUAAGGUGAUAUGAACCGUUAUAACCGGCGAUACCCGAAUGGGGAAACCCAGUGUGACUCGUCACACUAUCAUUAACUGAAUCCAUAGGUUAAUGAGGCGAACCGGGGGAACUGAAACAUCUAAGUACCCCGAGGAAAAGAAAUCAACCGAGAUUCCCCCAGUAGCGGCGAGCGAACGGGGAGGAGCCCAGAGCCUGAAUCAGCAUGUGUGUUAGUGGAAGCGUCUGGAAAGGCGCGCGAUACAGGGUGACAGCCCCGUACACAAAAGCGCAUGUGCUGUGAGCUCGAUGAGUAGGGCGGGACACGUGGUAUCCUGUCUGAAUAUGGGGGGACCAUCCUCCAAGGCUAAAUACUCCUGACUGACCGAUAGUGAACCAGUACCGUGAGGGAAAGGCGAAAAGAACCCCGGCGAGGGGAGUGAAAAAGAACCUGAAACCGUGUACGUACAAGCAGUGGGAGCACCCUUUGGGGUGUGACUGCGUACCUUUUGUAUAAUGGGUCAGCGACUUAUAUUCUGUAGCAAGGUUAACCGAAUAGGGGAGCCGGAGGGAAACCGAGUCUUAACCGGGCGUUAAGUUGCAGGGUAUAGACCCGAAACCCGGUGAUCUAGCCAUGGGCAGGUUGAAGGUUGGGUAACACUAACUGGAGGACCGAACCGACUAAUGUUGAAAAAUUAGCGGAUGACCUGUGGCUGGGGGUGAAAGGCCAAUCAAACCGGGAGAUAGCUGGUUCUCCCCGAAAGCUAUUUAGGUAGCGCCUCGUGAAUUCAUCUCCGGGGGUAGAGCACUGUUUCGGCUAGGGGGCCAUCCCGGCUUACCAACCCGAUGCAAACUGCGAAUACCGGAGAAUGUUAUCACGGGAGACACACGGCGGGUGCUAACGUCCGUCGUGAAGAGGGAAACAACCCAGACCGCCAGCUAAGGUCCCAAAGUCAUGGUUAAGUGGGAAACGAUGUGGGAAGGCCCAGACAGCCAGGAUGUUGGCUUAGAAGCAGCCAUCAUUUAAAGAAAGCGUAAUAGCUCACUGGUCGAGUCGGCCUGCGCGGAAGAUGUAACGGGGCUAAACCAUGCACCGAAGCUGCGGCAGCGACGCUUAUGCGUUGUUGGGUAGGGGAGCGUUCUGUAAGCCUGUGAAGGUGGCCUGUGAGGGUUGCUGGAGGUAUCAGAAGUGCGAAUGCUGACAUAAGUAACGAUAAAGCGGGUGAAAAGCCCGCUCGCCGGAAGACCAAGGGUUCCUGUCCAACGUUAAUCGGGGCAGGGUGAGUCGACCCCUAAGGCGAGGCCGAAAGGCGUAGUCGAUGGGAAACGGGUUAAUAUUCCCGUACUUGGUGUUACUGCGAAGGGGGGACGGAGAAGGCUAUGUUGGCCGGGCGACGGUUGUCCCGGUUUAAGCGUGUAGGCUGGUUUUCCAGGCAAAUCCGGAAAAUCAAGGCUGAGGCGUGACGACGAGGCACUACGGUGCUGAAGCAACAAAUGCCCUGCUUCCAGGAAAAGCCUCUAAGCAUCAGGUAACACGAAAUCGUACCCCAAACCGACACAGGUGGUCAGGUAGAGAAUACCAAGGCGCUUGAGAGAACUCGGGUGAAGGAACUAGGCAAAAUGGUGCCGUAACUUCGGGAGAAGGCACGCUGACAUGUAGGUGAAGUGAUUUACUCAUGGAGCUGAAGUCAGUCGAAGAUACCAGCUGGCUGCAACUGUUUAUUAAAAACACAGCACUGUGCAAACACGAAAGUGGACGUAUACGGUGUGACGCCUGCCCGGUGCCGGAAGGUUAAUUGAUGGGGUCAGCGCAAGCGAAGCUCCUGAUCGAAGCCCCGGUAAACGGCGGCCGUAACUAUAACGGUCCUAAGGUAGCGAAAUUCCUUGUCGGGUAAGUUCCGACCUGCACGAAUGGCGUAAUGAUGGCCAGGCUGUCUCCACCCGAGACUCAGUGAAAUUGAACUCGCUGUGAAGAUGCAGUGUACCCGCGGCAAGACGGAAAGACCCCGUGAACCUUUACUAUAGCUUGACACUGAACAUUGAGCCUUGAUGUGUAGGAUAGGUGGGAGGCUUUGAAGUGUGGACGCCAGUCUGCAUGGAGCCGACCUUGAAAUACCACCCUUUAAUGUUUGAUGUUCUAACGUGGACCCGUGAUCCGGGUUGCGGACAGUGUCUGGUGGGUAGUUUGACUGGGGCGGUCUCCUCCUAAAGAGUAACGGAGGAGCACGAAGGUUGGCUAAUCCUGGUCGGACAUCAGGAGGUUAGUGCAAUGGCAUAAGCCAGCUUGACUGCGAGCGUGACGGCGCGAGCAGGUGCGAAAGCAGGUCAUAGUGAUCCGGUGGUUCUGAAUGGAAGGGCCAUCGCUCAACGGAUAAAAGGUACUCCGGGGAUAACAGGCUGAUACCGCCCAAGAGUUCAUAUCGACGGCGGUGUUUGGCACCUCGAUGUCGGCUCAUCACAUCCUGGGGCUGAAGUAGGUCCCAAGGGUAUGGCUGUUCGCCAUUUAAAGUGGUACGCGAGCUGGGUUUAGAACGUCGUGAGACAGUUCGGUCCCUAUCUGCCGUGGGCGCUGGAGAACUGAGGGGGGCUGCUCCUAGUACGAGAGGACCGGAGUGGACGCAUCACUGGUGUUCGGGUUGUCAUGCCAAUGGCACUGCCCGGUAGCUAAAUGCGGAAGAGAUAAGUGCUGAAAGCAUCUAAGCACGAAACUUGCCCCGAGAUGAGUUCUCCCUGAGACUUAGAGUCUCCUGAAGGAACGUUGAAGACGACGACGUUGAUAGGCCGGGUGUGUAAGCGCAGCGAUGCGUUGAGCUAACCGGUACUAAUGAACCGUGAGGCUUAACCUU
rnacentral:rRNA from 1 species